GGUUAAGCGACUAAGCGUACACGGUGGAUGCCCUGGCAGUCAGAGGCGAUGAAGGACGUGCUAAUCUGCGAUAAGCGUCGGUAAGGUGAUAUGAACCAUUAUAACCGGCGAUUUCCGAAUGGGGAAACCCAGUGUGAUUCGUCACACUAUCAUUAACUGAAUCCAUAGGUUAAUGAGGCGAACCGGGGGAACUGAAACAUCUAAGUACCCCGAGGAAAAGAAAUC
rnacentral:rRNA from 1 species